rnacentral:lncRNA from 1 species
GGUUAUCACCUCCAUCCCUCAACCAGGACUGCCUCAGGUUCUCCACUGCUUCUUCUAGUUCUUCCUUCUUCCACAGCGUAUCCUGGAGCGUCUGACGAAGAUGUCGGCUCUCUGUCUCCGCUUCUCGAUGCCGCUUCCGCAGAACUUCGGACUCCGCCUCUGCAUCCGCGAUGGCCUUCCGCUCGAGCGCCAGUUGGAUUUUCACUUGUUGAAGCUUGGCUGUCUUCUCUCCAAGGGAGACGGAAAUCCCUUCGACAGUGCCUCUCAGGGCUAGGAGCUCUUCGGUAUCUUGGGCGUUAGUAAGCUGCGUCCUAGUAACCAACUGCCUCUGGAGACGAACAACCUCGUCCGCCGC